GGACCUGUUGUGUAGUGGUUCAUCACAUCUGCUUUACAAUCUUUGUGGCGCAGAAGGUCCCCAGUUCGAUCCUGGGCGGGUUCA